UAUAAGUCAUGUGACUUUCAGAAACGUCACCAAAAUGGCUGACGGACCUACGAAAACAGAUAUUCAAACAAUUUUUAAAAGACUACGAUCUAUACCUACAAAUAAGCAAUGUUUUGACUGUGGGAGUAACAAUCCAACAUGGGCAAGUGUAACAUAUGGAGUGUUUCUAUGUAUAGAUUGUUCUGCAGUACACAGAUCACUGGGUGUUCAUGUCACAUUUAUACGCUCCACUCAACUUGAUACAAACUGGACAUGGCUGCAACUUCGAGCAAUGCAAGUUGGAGGCAAUUCCAAUGCUAUGUCUUUUUUCCGACAACAUGGUUGUACAACAAAUGAUGCCCAGCAGAAAUAUCACAGUAGAGCUGCCAGAAUGUAUAAAGAUAAAUUACAUUCUUUAGCCACUCAGGCUAUGAGACUCCAUGGCAGUAAGAGAUUGUUGGAGACCAGGAAAGGUUCAGAUGGCAAGUUGCACUCUAAAGUGCGAAAAUCUGAUGUUAAAUUACAUAUAGAAAGUCAUCAUGAUCCACAAUCACCAGAAACUAAGGAGGUUGAUUUUUUUGCUGAACAUUCCGACAUACAGCGUGAGGAGGAACCUCAACCUAACAUGCCCGUCACCGAGGGUCAGAAACUAACACAGCCUAUUUCUAUUGAGAAUGGUAGCGUUAAGAAGGAGGCGGUGUCUCUAGGAGAAGGGGAGGGGCCUAAUGUAGAGCAUGCCUUAAGUAUGUCCCCCACAGAAGCAAUGGCUAAGGCAGAACCAAGGAAAGCUCUUAUAGGUGCCAAGAAAGCACCAGCUAAGAAAGGGAAAGGAGGAUUUGGAGCACAGAAAGUAAAGACAGACUUUAAAGAGAUAGAGAAUCGUGCAGAGCAAAGAGAUAAAGAACGCGAGUCAAUGGCCGCAAACAUGGCAAUACAGGAAGCUAAAACUAAAGAAGAACAGGAAAAACAAAUGGCAAGUAUGCGACUAGCUUAUCAAGAUAUGAGUAUGGAAAGGAAGAAACAAGAAGAGAAGUUGAAAACUUCAGAUCCAAAGAAAGCUGAACAGAUGGAAAGAUUGGGGAUGGGAUAUGGAGGUUCUAGAGGUAUAAGCCAUUCAGCUAUGACAGAUAUGCAAACUAUAGAACAAGUGGGUGUAGACAAUAACAAAUAUAAUGCAGAUAAAUAUGAAAGACGCAGUAAUAAAAAUUCCUUCUUUGAAGACGAGAUGGAAUCAUACAGCGGAGGUUUCUCAUCAGGACCACCCAAAUAUGACAGUCCGUUUGGAACAUCAGAAAGAAGUCGUAAAAAUGAUGAUUUUAGCAGUGGCUGGGGUUCCAGUAAUAGUGGAGGUGGGUGGGGUAUGGACAGAUUUGAAACUAAACAAGACACGUUCUCUGAUACUUCAAGAAAUGAUGACAGCAAUGCUGAGGAAGAUAAUGUGGAGGAAGAAGGACCUGCUCGAACUAGAAAGGCCUACGAUAAUACAGAAUCAUCAAGCACGGAGGCCCAGAAAAAGUUUGGUAAUGCCAAGGCCAUCUCCUCAGACCAAUACUUUGGUAAAAAUGAUAUGGAUUUUGAGACGAGACAGAACUUGAACAAGUUUGAAGGUUCAUCAAGUAUAUCAAGUGCUGAAUUAUUUGGUAAUGGUGAUAAGUCUCGUAAAUCAGGUAGUGGGUACUACGGUAGCGGGCCAGAUUUCCAGGACGUGAAGGAUAGUGUAAAACAAGGCGUGUCAAAAGUUGCCGGUCGAUUAUCUAACAUUGCUAGUGGCGUGAUGAGCUCAUUACAGAGAAAUAAGUAACUUAAGAUGUAUGUGUGUAAGAUAUAGGACUGAAACAUCAUAGAGUAUGUGCUACACUGUGUUGUCUGGACAAAUAUGGAUCAUAGUGUAUAUUGAAAAAUAACAGAACAGAAAAUAUAACAUUACUGGCCAGCUGACCCAUAAUGCCCUGUACUGUGUCAGUGUCUUACAGCAUGAUGUCAGUGUCAUCUAGAAACUAGGUCAAGGUCGUUCAACAAAUGUAAAAUGAGAGUACUGAAGUUCAUUUAUUCAAUAUUUACAGACAAUCUAAAUGUGGGUUAAAGAAAAUAUUUAUAUUAUGUAGUUGUUAUGGAUUGCAACAGUAAGCCUGGACUUUGAUAUCAGUUUUCAAAUUCUUUUGUCAGUUUUAAAUAUGGCUUUUUUCAGUCAGUGUAAUUUUUGGAAUUAGGAAAGUAUGGUGACAACUGUGAAACUAAACAAUAACAAAUAACAAUAAAAUAACAAAAACCUUGUUUUUUGAUAUAUUUUAUCUCGGAAUAUUAAAAAGGUUGAAGUUAACAUGACAAAUUUAGUGUUUAAAUAGGAAGUGGGUUUGCUCAUCGGAACUUUAAUGGUAUGAAAAAACUGAAGUAAAAGAUCUUGCAAUUAGAUUAUUUUAUUUAUUUGUUAAAUAACAUUAUUGUUUCAUGUCAUUGUUGCAAUUAAGAAAAUUUGUAAUGACAAAUGUAAUUUAUUACUUAAUUGAUUGUAAUGAAACAACUAGAGUAAAUUUAUAUCACACAAAAUUGUUUCUAAAAACAUGAUACAUUUCUUUGCAAGUUUUAAUUGGUGUAUGUCUCCCACUCAAGUUGAUAUGUGGUUUUCCUUAAAAUUUUAAUCAACCUUUUGCACUUUAUUGCAUAAUAUUUUAUGUGUGAAUUAGAAUUGAUAACAUUUUCACAGUGUGAACUUAUUGAAAAUGGUAUUAAUGUGGUAUAUAUUAAGAACAUCAAUUUUGAAAUAUGAGAAAUAUAAAAAACUUUCACAUUUGAUGUUUGAAAGAUUAGACAUUAUUUUGAUCUGUAUUGUUCAGUUAUUUAAAAAUUACUUUAGAAUAUUUGAUUUUUCUGUCUUGUUAUAUUAAGAUUGUAGAUGAGGGAAAUUUAGUUGUUAUUUCUGGAGUUAAUUAACCAUUGUGAGAUAAUAUUAAGUUAUGUGCAUAUGUUUUAAUUACUUAUCAUUUUCAUAAAUCAAAAGUUUCUGUUGUAAUAGUUACUUUGAUCAGACUAAAAUACAAAUUUCAGAUAAAUAAUGGAAUAGAAUAUGCUGUCUGUAUAAAUGGUAAAACACUAACAAAAAUUUUUUUUGAUUUUUGCAUCAGACAAGGUUUCAGUGUUUAGUUACAACUUUUCAAAACUUUGAGGAAAUUCUAUUUUUAGAAUAUAUAAUAAAUUCAAGCCAAUUGUUGUGUGGUUUGGCAUCCAGGAGUCUGUUUUAAACUUGUUUUUUUAUUGUAAAUGUUGUGUCAUCAUGUUAUAUUUCUCAUUGCUGGAUGUUGAUUUAUAAUUCUCAUGUGGUUACUGAAAUGGAAUUUCAAGUCAUUUCAUUUUUGUGUGGCUGACAGCUUGAAUAUGAUUUUUUUUAUAAACAUCGUAACAACAUAGAAUUUUUGUCAUACAUGUGACUACUGCAUUUAAGUCCUGAUUUGGUAGUCUAGCGUUAAGUUGACAAACCUCGUAUCUGUUUGUAUGGUAGCUUUACUUAUUACUGGUAUACUGGUGUUUUUGUGUUAACUGCACAUGCAAAAUAUCCGCAUUAACAAUUACAAACAUUGGUGUAUAUUUCUGCUUAUAAGCACGAUAUGUUAGCUGAAAUGAAAAACUACCAACAGUUUUAAGCAUUAUGACCUAAUACACCUUGAUUACACUUAAAACACUAUUACCAAAAUAAAAAAAUAAUAAAGAAUAAAGAUUUCCUAACAAUGACAUUUGGUCACAUACCUAUCUACGGGUUAUUUCAGGUGACACGCCACCACUUUACUGAUAACUGCCAACACUUGCUUUAUUUCAGAUAUGUCCUUAUAAAUUCUGUCUUGUUAUAUUGUGUGUAUGAAAGUAUAAGAGUAUUUUAUUUCAUCAGUGAAUAUGUUCAGAGAUCUGUAUUGUCAUAUUUGUUAAUUAAGUCAAUGUCUAGUAAUUAACUGUCUUUCAGGGGAUGUAGAUUUAUCUUUAAAAACUUUCUGUGUUUGAUUUUUUAUUUUUUGAAUAUUCUGUUUUUUUCCAGCUGUCUUUAGCAUAUAAUAUUUUAGAGCAUGCUCACUUGAAUAAGGGUUAAACUGAAAACAAAGUAGCAUUGAAUACAUCAUUGGCUAAGAUAUGCAGUAGUUUAAUAUGUUGUUGCCAAUUAAGUUUCUGUAACGCGUCAGAUUUGUUACAAUGGUUCAUUCUUGCACGAUAUACAUUGCAAUAUUUAGAUACUAAAAAGUCAAUAGAAAUAAUUUUUAUCUCAAGAUGGAUAGAUUAAAAACAAUGCAAAUUAUUUUACCCGAAAUUAAUUGGUGAAGACCUUGUUAAGGUACAUGGUUUUUACAGCUUGUAGUUCAGAAAAAAACUUUGCUUAGGGUAAUCUUGUAUUUUGCAAAAUUUUAGUUUAACACUGUUUUCUUUUUAAGAAAAUUGUUUGUCUUAUUAUGUGUAAAGAUCAUAUGAAUUUUGCAAUAUUGUCCGGAGUAAGGGCCCCUUGUAUAUAUUAUAAUGCUUUUCUUGCAAAACAUGGCGGAGACUCGUUUCUACUUUCAUUUUUUCGUCUUCAAAAUUUGUACGUGCAGGAGAAGUUGAAUGUGAAUGCAUUGUUGUGUUUGGUGUAGUGUGUGUAGUGAAUGAAUUCUCGGGUUAAUUACAGAUCAGUAAAGUGGUACAUACAUAAUGUUUCAUUAAAAUAUAUCUAUUUAUGAAAAUAAAAUAAUUAUAAAAG